GCGAACGUAGCUCAGUCGGUAGAGUCCCGGAUUGUGAUUCCGGUUGUCGCGGGUUCGAGCCCCGUCGUUCGCCCCA
rnacentral:tRNA from 1 species